rnacentral:rRNA from 1 species
UACGGAGGGUGCGAGCGUUGUCCGGAAUCACUGGGCGUAAAGGGCGCGUAGGCGGCUUGGGAAGUCUGUGGUGAAAGCUCGUGGCUCAACUGCGAGUCGGCCAUAGAUACUCCUAAGCUCGAGUCGACUAGAGGCAGAUGGAAUUCCGGGUGUAGCGGUGGAAUGCGCAGAUAUCAGGAGGAACACCGGUGGCGAAGGCGGGUCUCUGGGCAGUAACUGACGCUGAGGAGCGAAAGCGUGGGGAGCGAACAGG